rnacentral:lncRNA from 1 species
AAAAAAAAAUAUUCAUCUCUCCUCCAAGGCAAAAAUCGAGUUUUUACUUCCACACUCCUUCUCAUUAUUAUUCCUAUAACUCUCCUUCCUUUUAGUCAUGAUUCCAUAUGUGUUUCUAAUUCCAUGCACUCAUCCAUCCAGUAAUGAUUACUGACCAUUAACCAGAGAUGUACCUACCAGCUCUGGACUAGGUGGCCUCUGGGGCAGAGGUAAAAGCAGUAGAAGAUUCCUGACCACUGGCUCCUUAGGGAACAAAUGAGGCAGGAUUUGACCCCAUCUAGGGAGAGGUAGCCAGACCCGGGACCUCAUGACACUCUGACCAAACUGCACAGUAGACCCUUGGGCAAGAAAAUACAGCAUGGAGGGUUUUUGAAAAUCUGUUUUUUAUCAACUUCUACCCCACCACUGUCAUUUAGACAACCUCCUCUCAGGUCCCAAACUUUAAGACACAUCUCUGCUAUUUCUUUACCCUCUUCCCCUAGACUUACAACAUCUUCAUGAACUCUGAUCUUCAUGGUGAUAACAGGAAAUAAGGAGAAAAGAUUCUUAUGGUGGCAUCAAACUUGGUCACAUGGCUUACAUUUUCUUCAAGAGUUUUACUGUUCCAGAUGGAAGCCCUGGCUGCCUGUCCUUAAACUCACUGGAAUCGGUGGCUCCGUCUGUGACAGCUGUUGUGCACCAACAUGAUCAUCCAGGGAGGACAAACACACUUCAGAUGCUUACUAGUGCCCCUCAGGAGAUAUUGUAUCUUCACCAAUGAGUCAAUCUAGGAAGAUGGAAAAACUUUUCUAAAAUCACUUCAGCGUUACAGAUGGGAUUGAACCUAGAUCGUUGUUCUUACCUUUUUACUGUUCAUUAAAAUCUGUGUCAAGCUUUGAGUCAAGAAUUAGGUGUCGAGUUUAUUGGUAGGAAAAUACUUAGUCAUGAUUCGAUCCAAGUGAGCUGUGACACUCUCCAAAAAUAUGUGUCCUUGGAUCUUUCAUGCCAGGGAUGUGGGCUACAUACAGAUUUGCACAUGAAUA